AUUUUCUUCAGUUGAACAAACAAAAGACUAAAAUUCCAAUCCCGAAGUAAACAAACCUUAUCAACAAAUUAAGCCUGAAGUUCAACUAAGAAAAUUCAAUCAUCCAAGGAAACAGCAGCAAUAUGAUACAUAAAAACACCGAAAACAAUUACUCCCUCCAUUUCAAUUUAUUUGACCUUUUUUCCUCUCUAGUCCAUUGAAAAAAGAAUGACCCUUUCCUUUUUAUAG
rnacentral:misc_RNA from 1 species